AAAUUGAAGAGUUUGAUCAUGGCUCAGAUUGAACGCUGGCGGCAGGCCUAACACAUGCAAGUCGAACGGUAGCACAGAGAGCUUGCUCUCGGGUGACGAGUGGCGGACGGGUGAGUAAUGUCUGGGAAACUGCCUGAUGGAGGGGGAUAACUACUGGAAACGGUGGCUAAUACCGCAUAACGUCGCAAGACCAAAGAGGGGGACCUUCGGGCCUCUUGCCAUCAGAUGUGCCCAGAUGGGAUUAGCUAGUUGGUGAGGUAACGGCUCACCAAGGCGACGAUCCCUAGCUGGUCUGAGAGGAUGACCAGCCACACUGGAACUGAGACACGGUCCAGACUCCUACGGGAGGCAGCAGUGGGGAAUAUUGCACAAUGGGCGCAAGCCUGAUGCAGCCAUGCCGCGUGUAUGAAGAAGGCCUUCGGGUUGUAAAGUACUUUCAGCGGGGAGGAAGGUGUUGUGGUUAAUAACCGCAGCAAUUGACGUUACCCGCAGAAGAAGCACCGGCUAACUCCGUGCCAGCAGCCGCGGUAAUACGGAGGGUGCAAGCGUUAAUCGGAAUUACUGGGCGUAAAGCGCACGCAGGCGGUCUGUCAAGUCGGAUGUGAAAUCCCCGGGCUCAACCUGGGAACUGCAUUCGAAACUGGCAGGCUUGAGUCUUGUAGAGGGGGGUAGAAUUCCAGGUGUAGCGGUGAAAUGCGUAGAGAUCUGGAGGAAUACCGGUGGCGAAGGCGGCCCCCUGGACAAAGACUGACGCUCAGGUGCGAAAGCGUGGGGAGCAAACAGGAUUAGAUACCCUGGUAGUCCACGCCGUAAACGAUGUCUACUUGGAGGUUGUGCCCUUGAGGCGUGGCUUCCGGAGCUAACGCGUUAAGUAGACCGCCUGGGGAGUACGGCCGCAAGGUUAAAACUCAAAUGAAUUGACGGGGGCCCGCACAAGCGGUGGAGCAUGUGGUUUAAUUCGAUGCAACGCGAAGAACCUUACCUGGUCUUGACAUCCACGGAAGUUUUCAGAGAUGAGAAUGUGCCUUCGGGAACCGUGAGACAGGUGCUGCAUGGCUGUCGUCAGCUCGUGUUGUGAAAUGUUGGGUUAAGUCCCGCAACGAGCGCAACCCUUAUCCUUUGUUGCCAGCGGUCCGGCCGGGAACUCAAAGGAGACUGCCAGUGAUAAACUGGAGGAAGGUGGGGAUGACGUCAAGUCAUCAUGGCCCUUACGACCAGGGCUACACACGUGCUACAAUGGCGCAUACAAAGAGAAGCGACCUCGCGAGAGCAAGCGGACCUCAUAAAGUGCGUCGUAGUCCGGAUUGGAGUCUGCAACUCGACUCCAUGAAGUCGGAAUCGCUAGUAAUCGUGGAUCAGAAUGCCACGGUGAAUACGUUCCCGGGCCUUGUACACACCGCCCGUCACACCAUGGGAGUGGGUUGCAAAAGAAGUAGGUAGCUUAACCUUCGGGAGGGCGCUUACCACUUUGUGAUUCAUGACUGGGGUGAAGUCGUAACAAGGUAACCGUAGGGGAACCUGCGGUUGGAUCACCUCCUUA
rnacentral:rRNA from 1 species